rnacentral:rRNA from 1 species
CUGCGGAGGGAUCAUUACAAGUGACCCCGGUCUAACCACCGGGAUGUUCAUAACCCUUUGUUGUCCGACUCUGUUGCCUCCGGGGCGACCCUGCCUUCGGGCGGGGGCUCCGGGUGGACACUUCAAACUCUUGCGUAACUUUGCAGUCUGAGUAAACUUAAUUAAUAAAUUAAAACUUUUAACAACGGAUCUCUUGGUUCUGGCAUCGAUGAAGAACGCAGCGAAAUGCGAUAAGUAAUGUGAAUUGCAGAAUUCAGUGAAUCAUCGAAUCUUUGAACGCACAUUGCGCCCCCUGGUAUUCCGGGGGGCAUGCCUGUUCGAGCGUCAUUUCACCACUCAAGCCUCGCUUGGUAUUGGGCAACGCGGUCCGCCGCGUGCCUCAAAUCGACCGGCUGGGUCUUCUGUCCCCUAAGCGUUGUGGAAACUAUUCGCUAAAGGGUGCUCGGGAGGCUACGCCGUAAAACAAACCCAUUUCUAAGGUUGACCUCGGAUCAGGUAGGGAUACCCGCUGAACUUAAGCAUAUCAAUAAGCGGAGGAAAAGAAACCAACAGGGAUUGCUCUAGUAACGGCGAGUGAAGCAGCAAUAGCUCAAAUUUGAAAUCUGGCGUCUUCGACGUCCGAGUUGUAAUUUGUAGAGGAUGCUUCUGAGUAACCACCGACCUAAGUUCCUUGGAACAGGACGUCAUAGAGGGUGAGAAUCCCGUAUGCGGUCGGAAAGGUGCUCUAUACGUAGCUCCUUCGACGAGUCGAGUUGUUUGGGAAUGCAGCUCUAAAUGGGAGGUAAAUUUCUUCUAAAGCUAAAUAUUGGCCAGAGACCGAUAGCGCACAAGUAGAGUGAUCGAAAGAUGAAAAGCACUUUGGAAAGAGAGUUAAAAAGCACGUGAAAUUGUUAAAAGGGAAGGGAUUGCAACCAGACUUGCUCGCGGUGUUCCGCCGGUCUUCUGACCGGUCUACUCGCCGCGUUGCAGGCCAGCAUCGUCUGGUGCCGCUGGAUAAGACUUGAGGAAUGUAGCUCCCUCGGGAGUGUUAUAGCCUCUUGUGAUGCAGCGAGCGCCGGGCGAGGUCCGCGCUUCGGCUAGGAUGCUGCNAUC